CUUACCAUGCAGUCGAACGAUGAACCGGUUUCGGCCGGGGAUUAGUGGCGAACGGGUGAGUAACACGUGGGCAAUCUGCCCUGCACUCUGGGACAAGCCCUGGAAACGGGGUCUAAUACCGGAUAUGACCGUCUUGGGCAUCCUUGACGGUGUAAAGCUCCGGCGGUGCAGGAUGAGCCCGCGGCCUAUCAGCUUGUUGGUGAGGUAGUGGCUCACCAAGGCGACGACGGGUAGCCGGCCUGAGAGGGCGACCGGCCACACUGGGACUGAGACACGGCCCAGACUCCUACGGGAGGCAGCAGUGGGGAAUAUUGCACAAUGGGCGGAAGCCUGAUGCAGCGACGCCGCGUGAGGGACGACGGCCUUCGGGUUGUAAACCUCUUUCAGCAGGGAAGAAGCGCAAGUGACGGUACCUGCAGAAGAAGCGCCGGCUAACUACGUGCCAGCAGCCGCGGUAAUACGUAGGGCGCAAGCGUUGUCCGGAAUUAUUGGGCGUAAAGAGCUCGUAGGCGGCUUGUCGCGUCGGUUGUGAAAGCCCGGGGCUUAACCCCGGGUCUGCAGUCGAUACGGGCAGGCUAGAGUUCGGUAGGGGAGAUCGGAAUUCCUGGUGUAGCGGUGAAAUGCGCAGAUAUCAGGAGGAACACCGGUGGCGAAGGCGGAUCUCUGGGCCGAUACUGACGCUGAGGAGCGAAAGCGUGGGGAGCGAACAGGAUUAGAUACCCUGGUAGUCCACGCCGUAAA
rnacentral:rRNA from 1 species